UACGUAGGGACCAAGCGUUGUUCGGAUUUACUGGGCGUAAAGGGCGCGUAGGCGGCGUGGUAAGUCACUUGUGAAAUCUCUGAGCUUAACUCAGAACGGUCAAGUGAUACUGCUGUGCUAGAGUGCGGAAGGGGCAAUCGGAAUUCUUGGUGUAGCGGUGAAAUGCGUAGAUAUCGGGAGGAACACCAGUGGCGAAGGCGAUCAUCUGGGAUUAACCUGACGCUGAGGAGCGAAAGCCAGGGGAGCAAACAGG
rnacentral:rRNA from 1 species